CCAUAUCUGAUGGUAGAGAAAAUUGUUGAUCUCUGAAAGCUUUGCUACAAAACUACAGUUACACUUCAAAUUUGCAAAGGAAGAAAGAAAGACCAUUCAGGCAGCUGCCAACCAGCCAUCUUCAUAUUAGGACAAAGAGAGGAUGACAGCUCUUUUAUCACCCACAACAAGAAUGCUGAGCCCGUUGUGUAGGCAAAACAUUUGGAGCAGAGGAAGAGAGCAUGCGUAGAGCAGAAAGGAGUGGAGAAAAGCC